CCUACGGGCGACAGCAGUGAGGAAUAUUGGUCAAUGGACGAGAGUCUGAACCAGCCAAGUAGCGUGAAGGAUGACUGCCCUAUGGGUUGUAAACUUCUUUUAUAUGGGAAUAAAAUGUUCCACGUGUGGGAUUUUGUAUGUACCAUAUGAAUAAGGAUCGGCUAACUCCGUGCCAGCAGCCGCGGUAAUACGGAGGAUCCGAGCGUUAUCCGGAUUUAUUGGGUUUAAAGGGAGCGUAGGUGGAUUGUUAAGUCAGUUGUGAAAGUUUGCGGCUCAACCGUAAAAUUGCAGUUGAAACUGGCAGUCUUGAGUACAGUAGAGGUGGGCGGAAUUCGUGGUGUAGCGGUGAAAUGCUUAGAUAUCACGAAGAACUCCGAUUGCGAAGGUAGUUCACUGGACUGCAACUGACACUGAGGCUCGAAAGUGUGGGUAUCAAACAGGAUUAGAUACCCCUGUAGUC
rnacentral:rRNA from 1 species